rnacentral:misc_RNA from 1 species
UAAACUUACCAGUAGGUGGAC